AUGCUUGCUGCAGAAGCACAUGUAUAAAAAUUGGCACAGCACAGAGAUUAGCAUGGCCCCUGUGCAAGGAUGACACACAAAUUUGUGAAGCAGUCUAUAUUUUA
ensembl:snRNA U6 U6 spliceosomal RNA